GGGCGCGAUCAUACCAGCACUAAUGCACCGGAUCCUAUCAGAACUCCGCAGUUAAGCUUGCUUGGGCAAAGCGUGCUUGGGCGAGAGUAGUACUAGGAUGGGUGACCUCCCGGGAAGUCCUCGUGUUGCACCCC
rnacentral:rRNA from 1 species